CAGGGAAUAGUUUAGUUAGAAUGUCAGCUUUGGGUGCUGAUGGUGGG
rnacentral:tRNA from 1 species